rnacentral:rRNA from 1 species
GGUAGCAUAAUCACUUGCCCAUUAAUUGUGGGCUAGAAUGAAAGGACUAACGAAAUAAAAACUGUCUCUAUAAGUGACAUAAAAAUUAAUCUCUAACUGAAGAUUGUUAGAUAUCGUCGAAGGACAAGAAGACCCUAUAGAGCUUUAUUUUAAUAAAUAACUAUAAUUUAUAUAAAUUCGGUUGGGGCGACCAGGGAAAUUAAAUAUCAUCCCUUAAUAGCAGAUAACUCAAUCACACACUUGACCCUUUACCAAAGAUCAUCAAAACAAGCUACCUUAGGGAUAACAGGCUAAUCCCACUAAAGAGUCCUUAUCAAUAGUGGGGUUUGGCAC